ACGCGCCGGGUCGCAGCCCUCUUGCUGGGCGUGCGGAGGUGGCGGGAAACCGCUGGAGCCUACCCAGACCACCUGGCUACAGAGAUUUUGCCCCAUCAGUCAUCCUCACCCUGCCCUGUAUCUGCAGCCUUUCUUCUACUUUGGCUUUUCCCCAUAAGAAAAGCUUCUGCUGAUCAGGAUGGCACAGUAGAAAGCUGGAUCAUUCUACUAUCCCUAGAGACUGCAGUGCAGCUAUGAGGGAACAAACAACAGACCAACAGAAGGCAAGAAUCCUUACCACGUCAGUCUCCCAGAUCUCUGACUCUAGUACCCAGUAAAGAGAGGAAUACAAACAUUUCUCUUUGUCCUUUCCUUUCUAAGCUCAUAAUGGCAGGAGAGUAACUUUGGUAAAAUAGAUCUUGAAUCAUGAAUUUGGUUUGGGGUUCCUAUAGGUUAUGGAUUCUUAGCCUCCCAGAAGUUUUUCAUGUUUGCAUUGUCUGACUUUUGUGUCAUUUGUCAUGAUGAAAAUCAUGAGAAUCUUCAUUUGUGUUGUUUUAUUACUAAGAACUUGGAUCUGUAACUAGUGAGAAUAUUCUCUCUGGUCUCUGGCACUUGGGGAGGGGGGGUUGUACAGGCUGUUGGGCUUGCAUCAGGCAGCCAGCCAGCGGGCUAGGGUACUAUUACCAUCUCUGUUUUCAUUCCCUUGUUUGUGCUGGGAAAAUUCCCAUUCUGGUACCACCUUUCAGGAAACAUAGAUUAGUGGAUCUGUGAAUUAAAAUGUCUCACUUUGUGGGAAACAGAACUUUCUUUACCACCUGUGACAAUGAAGGUCUUUGCUUUCUUAUACUAUCUUUGGAGUGGUUCUGCAUCUUGAGAGGGCCAUAUCGUUGGCAUUCUCUUUGAGGACACCCCUGUGUCCAUGGUUUGCCAUAAAAGGCUUAUUGAUUUUAAGCCAUAAAAAGGCUUAUUGGUUUGGAAUCAUAGUUGAAGUAGGUAUACCUUUGAAAAUUUGGACUUUUACAUCUAAAGGAUUUUUAAGAGAGCUCUCAUCCUAAACAAAUGCCCUGUUGGUACUUAUAGGAAGAUCAGAUAAGAAAGAGAGAAAGGAAGGAAGGAAGGAGAGAAAAGAAAGAACAGUUAUAGAAGAUACAUGGCUAGUGUGAGGGAAAAAAAACUUCACAAACUUCCUUAACUAGAUUAGGAAGUAGAGAUCAGACUCAGAACAAAUGCUAAGGACUGCAAAGGACACUCAAGCAGGCGUGAAAGAUGAAAAUACUGAUAGCUGGGAACUAGCUUUGAGAAAAGCACAGAAAAGGCACAAGAAGGCUUGACUUAUUGUCCCUUACUCUGUAAGCAAAUCCCACGAAGUCUAGGCCUUCCCAUUAUUUUUGGCUUCUGCUGCAGGCAAAAAAAUUCAUCAGACUGUCCCUACCCUUAAAAACAAAAACAAAAACAAAAAGCUUCGUAGUAAUUGUUAGGAUGUCCUUGGAACCACAGUAGAGGGGGCGGCCAUCUUGCCAGCGCAACCCAACGAAAAGCCCCUAGUAGCGUGCCAGAACGAAUUGGAGGUCAACCAGUCACCAAGCGACAGCACGACCUGUCGCGAAAAAGGCCCUCCCCGACCUAAACCGGGAACCCCUGCAGCU